UACGUAGGGUGCAAGCGUUGUCCGGAAUUAUUGGGCGUAAAGAGCUCGUAGGCGGUCUGUCGCGUCUGCUGUGAAAACUCGGGGCUUAACCCCGGGCCUGCAGUGGGUACGGGCAGACUAGAGUGCGGUAGGGGAGACUGGAAUUCCUGGUGUAGCGGUGAAAUGCGCAGAUAUCAGGAGGAACACCGAUGGCGAAGGCAGGUCUCUGGGCUGAUAACUGACGCUGAGGAGCGAAAGCAUGGGGAGCGAACAGG
rnacentral:rRNA from 1 species